AUUGAACGCUGGCGGCAUGCCUUACACAUGCAAGUCGAACGGCAGCACGGGAGCAAUCCUGGUGGCGAGUGGCGAACGGGUGAGUAAUAUAUCGGAACGUGCCCAGUAGUGGGGGAUAACUGCUCGAAAGAGCAGCUAAUACCGCAUACGACCUGAGGGUGAAAGCGGGGGAUCGCAAGACCUCGCGCUAUUGGAGCGGCCGAUAUCAGAUUAGCUAGUUGGUGGGGUAAAAGCCCACCAAGGCGACGAUCUGUAGCUGGUCUGAGAGGACGACCAGCCACACUGGGACUGAGACACGGCCCAGACUCCUACGGGAGGCAGCAGUGGGGAAUUUUGGACAAUGGGCGCAAGCCUGAUCCAGCCAUGCCGCGUGCGGGAAGAAGGCCUUCGGGUUGUAAACCGCUUUUGUCAGGGAAGAAACGGCUCCUACUAAUACUGGGGGCUAAUGACGGUACCUGAAGAAUAAGCACCGGCUAACUACGUGCCAGCAGCCGCCGUAA
rnacentral:rRNA from 1 species